AUUGAACGCUGGCGGCAGGCCUAACACAUGCAAGUCGAACGGUAACAGGAAGCAGCUUGCUGCUUUGCUGACGAGUGGCGGACGGGUGAGUAAUGUCUGGGAAACUGCCCGAUGGAGGGGGAUAACUACUGGAAACGGUAGCUACUACCGCCUAACGUCGCAAGACCAAAGAGGGGGACCUUAGGGCCUCUUGCCAUCGGAUGUGCCCAGAUGGGAUUAGCUAGUAGGUGGGGUAACGGCUCACCUAGGCGACGAUCCCUAACUGGUCUGAGAGGAUGACCAGCCACACUGGAACUGAGACACGGUCCAGACUCCUACGGGAGGCAGCAGUGGGGAAUAUUGCACAAUGGGCGAAAGCCUGAUGCAGCCAUGCCGCGUGUAUGAAGAAGGUCUUCGGGUUGUAAAGUACUUUUAGCGGGGAGGAAGGGAGUAAAGUUAAUACCUUUGCUCAUUGACGUUACCCGCAGAAGAAGCACCGGCUAACUCCGUG
rnacentral:rRNA from 1 species